UACAGAGGUCUCAAGCGUUGUUCGGAUUCAUUGGGCGUAAAGGGUGCGUAGGCGGCGCGGUAAGUCGGGUGUGAAAUCUCGGGGCUUAACUCCGAAACUGCAUUCGAUACUGCCGUGAUUGAGGACUGGAGAGGAGACUGGAAUUUACGGUGUAGCGGUGAAAUGCGUAGGAUAUCGUAAGGAAGACCAGUGGUCGAAGGCGGGU
rnacentral:rRNA from 1 species